UGCAAUAGCAACUAUAACACAAGAAAUUCAAAGAUUUGACUUGAACUAUACCCAAAAAAAUGAAAUAAACUAACUGGCAUGGGAUUGCAAAAGAAGUUAAUUUCAUAGAAACCAACAUGCAACCAAACAAGAAUUGAAAAUUAUCCUGAUUUGGUCAAGUUGAAACAAAAAAAUUCAAAAAUUAAUGAAGAAAAUCAGAAACUUCAAUUAAUGCUUCAACACUUACAAAU
rnacentral:lncRNA from 1 species